AUUGAACGCUGGCGGCAUGCCUUACACAUGCAAGUCGAACGGCAGCACGGGAGCUUGCUCCUGGUGGCGAGUGGCGAACGGGUGAGUAAUACAUCGGAACGUACCCAGGAGUGGGGGAUAACGUAGCGAAAGUUACGCUAAUACCGCAUAUUCUGUGAGCAGGAAAGCGGGGGAUCGCAAGACCUCGCGCUCUUGGAGCGGACGAUGUCGGAUUAGCUAGUUGGUGAGGUAAAAGCUCACCAAGGCGACGAUCCGUAGCAGGUCUGAGAGGAUGAUCUGCCACACUGGGACUGGUACACGGCCCAGACUCCUACGGGGGGCAGCAGUGGGGAAUUUUGGACAAUGGGGGCAACCCUGAUCCAGCCAUGCCGCGUGAGUGAAGAAGGCCUUCGGGUUGUAAAGCUCUUUCGGCGGGGAAGAAAUGGCAACGGCUAAUAUCCGUUGUUGAUGACGGUACCCGCAUAAGAAGCACCGGCUAACUACGUGCCAGCCGCCGCCGCCGUAA
rnacentral:rRNA from 1 species